rnacentral:rRNA from 1 species
GAUGAACGCUGGCGGCGUGCCUAAUACAUGCAAGUCGAGCGAACAGAUGAGGAGCUUGCUCCUCUGACGUUAGCGGCGGACGGGUGAGUAACACGUGGAUAACCUACCUAUAAGACUGGGAUAACUUCGGGAAACCGGAGCUAAUACCGGAUAAUAUAUUGAACCGCAUGGUUCAAUAGUGAAAGACGGUUUUGCUGUCACUUAUAGAUGGAUCCGCGCCGCAUUAGCUAGUUGGUAAGGUAACGGCUUACCAAGGCAACGUUGCGUAGCCGACCUGAGAGGGUGAUCGGCCACACUGGAACUGAGACACGGUCCAGACUCCUACGGGAGGCAGCAGUAGGGAAUCUUCCGCAAUGGGCGAAAGCCUGACGGAGCAACGCCGCGUGAGUGAUGAAGGUCUUCGGAUCGUAAAACUCUGUUAUUAGGGAAGAACAAAUGUGUAAGUAACUAUGCACGUCUUGACAGUACCUAAUCAGAAAGCCACGGCUAACUACGUG